GGGCGGCGGUGGCGGGCCGGGGAGGCUCAGGCAUGGCGGGCUGCAGGUCCCCAGCCCUGCCCCGCAGGGAGGCAGCUAAGGCCCCAGAAAUCCAGCACAGCAGCUGCUGGCCCAGGUGCGAAGCCCCUCACUGCCUGGUGCUGGCGGGGCGGCCAGACGGCCGCUCUGAGAGCGCGGGGCCUGCGGAGCCCACGCCCACCCGGAACUCGCGCUGGCUCGCAAGCGCAGCGCGCAGCCCGGUUCCUGCCCGCGCCUCUCCGUCCGCACCUCCCGGCAAGCUGAGGGAGCCGGCUCCAGCCUUGGCCAGUCCAGAAAGGGGCUCCCACAGUGCAGCGGCAGGUUGAAGGGCUCUUCAAGCGAGGCCAGAGUGGGCGCCAAGGCCGAGGCGGCGCCGAGAGCGAGCGAGGGCUGUGAGGGCCGCCAGCAUGCUGUCACCUCUCAUAAUGGGAUUUCUGGAUAGUGUUGUUAACAAUUCAUGGCGUGUGUUUCUGUGUCGGAGUCAGGAGGGAGCUGAAAAGAUGCAGUUUUAUCUCCAAAGGAAAGAAAUCAACUCUAAGGAAAGAAGUAGGCAGGAAACCUGUUGAAAGAAAAUGAAAACAUUGUAUUUCAGCAAUUGCUUAAAUCCUGCAAGAAGAUCAUGUUUGAUGG